UUCCAGUUUGUACCCAUUGUUUCCCGAUUUCAGUUCAAGAUACAAGGCCUCAGCCCUCAGCUCCCAGCUCCAGUUGCCAUGCCUGCCUGCUGCCACACUUCCUUGCUGUGAUAGUGAUGGACUCCUAUCUCCCUGGAACUACCUGAACAUCGUAAAAUACAUCUGUACUUCACUCUGGUUGGUUCUUCUAAUGGUUCGAACGUUCCCCACUUCAGGCUCAUUGACAUCAAGGUCUUUCUAGACCAACCUCCUAAGACUAGAGCAUUCUAGUUUCCCCCUCGGAGUUUGUCUACCUUAGAGAUUACCCAAUCUACCCUCCAUUGCUUGGCCUUCAGUAACUCAUGUCUCAUUUGGAAAAUGUGAAGAUAUCACUUCUCUACAGUUCAGUGAAAAAAGGAAAACUCAAGAGUGUUUAUGCCUUGUUGGGUGACUGUGGAAGACAAGUCACCUGCCUGGGCCCAACUUGCCCGGAUGAGAGAAGAAGAGGUUUCACUAGAACGACAAAUGUUGGUGGCACCAGGUGUCGCGUCUCUGACCGCCACAGGAGCAGCAUGUGUAAAUAUUUCCCUCAAUAUCACCCUACCCCAGCAUCUCACCGCCUUCCAUAACCACAUUCAUUUUAUUGUAAUUUGUAAUUAACUUUUACAAAAUUAAAUUGGAGAUAGAAAAUUACUGUCCCGACAUAAAUAAUCCUGCCGUGGGACGUGGCAGUGUUAACGCAAUCAACAAUACGAUUCAUAAAUGAAAGAAACGCUGUCGUACUUAUUACUUCUGUGUGCUCCAUCUUUUAUAGAAUAUUACAGUGUAAAUUGAAAUUUUAUAUGAUUUAAUAAACCUCAAAAAGAUA
rnacentral:lncRNA from 1 species